rnacentral:tRNA from 1 species
AGUCCCGUAGUCUAGCGGCAAGGAUACCGGACUUUGAAUCCGGCGGCUGGAGUUCGAGUCUCCACGGGACUACCA